ACGGGUGAGUAAUAUAUCGGAACGUGCCCAGUUGUGGGGGAUAGCCCGGCGAAAGCCGGAUUAAUACCGCAUACGACCUGAGGGUGAAAGCGGGGGAUCGCAAGACCUCGCGCAAUUGGAGCGGCCGAUAUCAGAUUAGCUAGUUGGUGGGGUAAAGGCCUACCAAGGCGACGAUCUGUAGCUGGUCUGAGAGGACGACCAGCCACACUGGGACUGAGACACGGCCCAGACUCCUACGGGAGGCAGCAGUGGGGAAUUUUGGACAAUGGGCGCAAGCCUGAUCCAGCCAUGCCGCGUGCGGGAAGAAGGCCUUCGGGUUGUAAACCGCUUUUGUCAGGGAAGAAACGGUCUGACCUAAUACGUUGGACUAAUGACGGUACCUGAAGAAUAAGCACCGGCUAACUACGUGCCAGCAGCCGCGGUAAUACGUAGGGUGCAAGCGUUAAUCGGAAUUACUGGGCGUAAAGCGUGCGCAGGCGGCUAUGCAAGACAGAUGUGAAAUCCCCGGGCUCAACCUGGGAACUGCAUUUGUGACUGCAUGGCUAGAGUACGGUAGAGGGGGAUGGAAUUCCGCGUGUAGCAGU
rnacentral:rRNA from 1 species